rnacentral:tRNA from 2 species
GGAGAGGUAUCGAAGUGGUCAUAACGGGGCUGACUCGAAAUCAGUUUGAGGGAAACCUCACGUGGGUUCGAAUCCCACCCUCUCCGCCA